UACGUAGGGGACCAGCGUUGUCCGGAUUUACUGGGCGUAAAGAGCGCGCAGGCGGUCGUUCAAGUCGAGUGUGAAAGCCCCCGGCUCAACUGGGGAGGGUCAUUCGAUACUGAUCGACUUGAAGGCAGGAGAGGGAAGCGGAAUUCCCGGUGUAGUGGUGAAAUGCGUAGAUAUCGGGAGGAACACCAGUGGCGAAGGCGGCUUCCUGGCCUGUUCUUGACGCUGAGGCGCGAAAGCUAGGGGAGCAAACGGG
rnacentral:rRNA from 1 species